AGCUUACUAAUCGGGCUUUAUGUGUGUGUUUGGUGUUUUUGUGCGCUUCAUGGGCGGCCCUGGAAAACUCAAGGGCCCGGCCAAAAUAAUACAGAUUUGUCCCGACUGUGAAUCCCUCGCCCCCCUUCGGUUACGGAAGCCAUCACUUUAUCUUGAUUUCCCGUUGCCAUAUUUGCCCUCUAUUUUGUCAUUCUCUUUCAUCAAAACUUCUCCCGCUUCGAAAUCUCCAUUUUUCGUCCGUCUACCUGCGGUGUUCGACGAAGAAUCAAUUUUAGGCCAAAACACUUUGGGAUUUCUUGUCCGUAUUUCUGGUCGCUACGCUCAUCCGAAAGCAGCCUCAGUCUCCACGUCGAAGGCUUUGUGAACAGACCAAGAAAAUUUCAGAAGAUCGAGAAUGUUCACCUUGUGUCGCGGAACUCAUGUUCUUGCGCUAGUGUUCUUCUCCUCAGUUGAAUCUGCAAAUGCCAAUCGACUGUCCAAAUUCCAGAGCCCUUAUUCUUGGCGCGAGAAUGAAAAA